GCUCAGACGAACGCGGGCGGCGUGCCUAAUACAUGCAAGUCGAGCGGAGUUGAUGAGGUGCUUGCACCUCUGAUACUUAGCGGCGGACGGGUGAGUAACACGUGGGUAACCUGCCUAUAAGACUGGGAUAACAUUCGGAAACGAAUGCUAAUACCGGAUACGCGAUUUGGUCGCAUGAUCGAAUCGGGAAAGAUGGAGCAAUCUAUCACUUAUAGAUGGACCCGCGGCGCAUUAGCUAGUUGGUGAGGUAACGGCUCACCAAGGCGACGAUGCGUAGCCGACCUGAGAGGGUGAUCGGCCACACUGGGACUGAGACACGGCCCAGACUCCUACGGGAGGCAGCAGUAGGGAAUCUUCCGCAAUGGACGAAAGUCUGACGGAGCAACGCCGCGUGAGUGAUGAAGGUUUUCGGAUCGUAAAGCUCUGUUGCCAGGGAAGAAUGCUUGGGAGAGUAACUGCUCCCAAGGUGACGGUACCUGAGAAGAAAGCCC
rnacentral:rRNA from 1 species